ACGACCUUACUUGAACAGGAUCUGUUCUGUAGGAUCGUACCUCUGUAUUCCUAAUCACUAAGGAGACAGGAAACUAAACCUGGUUGAGGAACCAAUGACCGCAUGAGUAAUGGCUUGAUGGUCCUCGUGAUCAUCUAGGCUGUAGAGGAUCGUUUCCUAGCCAUUGACUUGGCUGGGAAUGGUCAUGGGGUUGUCUAACAGGUC
rfam:Populus trichocarpa isolate Nisqually-1 chromosome 15, whole genome shotgun sequence.